AAGGACUCUGCACUCUGCUUAGAAUCCUGGCUCCAAUGAGGGAUCCCAAGCUCUGGCCCUGGCUCUGACAUCUACUUCCAGUGACCUUGGACAAGUUGCUCCUUCCUUCUAGAGCUCAGUCUUCCAAGUCAGAAGACAGCAGGAGAUAAUAUCCACCAUUCUCUGGCUGCCUUGGAAUAUAAUGCUGCCUUUGUGGCCCCCAUCUCUGCUCUGCCUCCUGACACCAGGCCGACUUCUGACACACAAGCCUUCUGUCAAUGCCAGGGAGAAGAGUAGAAAUACUCCAGAAGAGGGCAUCAGAUUUCGUUACGGAUGGUUGUGAGCCACCAUGUGUCUGCUGGGACCUGAACCCGGGACCUUCGGAAGAGCAGUCAGCGCUCUCAACCACUGAGCCAUCUCGCCAGCCCCCUUUCUUUUGUUUUUAAUAACUUAAAUAAACAGGGUCUUACUAUGUAACCCAGACUGGCCUUAACACCAUGGAUGAUCCUCCUGCCUCAGCCUCCCAAGUAAUGGGGUUACAAGCACAAACCA
rnacentral:lncRNA from 1 species